GCCCAGGUAGCUCAGUUGGUAGAGCAGAGGAUUGAAAAUCCUCGUGUCGGCGGUUCGAUUCCGUCCCUGGGCA
rnacentral:tRNA from 2 species